CAUUUGCUCUUCUUUUCAUAUCUCUCUCUUUUUAAAAGACUCUCUCUCUCUCUCUGUCUCUUGCUCUGUGGGUAGCGUGUAGCUGUAGAAGCUAACAACAUAAUCCUAGUUCUUCCACUGUUCAGAUGCAAAGACAAUGAGAAAGAAAGUAAGUAAGAAAGAAAGAACAGAACAGAAUAGAAACAGAGCAUUAUGUUUGUGCCUCGGAAAAGAGCGACACUCAGCUCCAUCCCCUCCUCUCUAUAAUUCCGUGUUUGGGCUUUUAAUCCCGAGACCCAAAAGUAGCAAAAGAAAAAAAAAUAAGGUUAAACCAUAAGAAUUUUGUUUGCUUCUAUCUUAAUAAAAGAGAGAAAAAAGAAAAAAGGAAAUUAAAAAUAGGGUUUGUUUGUUAAACACUACAUGGGUUUGAGUGUGUAUGGGGUUUUGGGUUGGGUAUUAACAGUAAAAAAAAAGGUGUACCCUUCCAUAAAGGGCCAAACCAAACCCUUUCCCUUUCAUCUUUGUACCAAACAGAUCGCUCCAUAAAGUAGCUAGGUAUAUGCACUCAUGGCCUCUUCUUCUUCUCAAAAAUCUCACAAACUAAAGGUUAAAGGAGAUGAAGAAGGAGAUUGGCUUGAGCUGGGGUUAGGUAUAGGGUUUAGAAGAGCUUGUAGAAAAGAAGAAGAUCAGGGAUCACACCCUCCAGUUUCAAAACCUCUACCAAUAGCAACAUCUUUUGCUGCUUCUUCUUCUUCUUCUUUACCCUUGCAAACCAACCAGCUAGGUUUAGGGUUAGAGUUAAAGGCAAGUGGUUUAGCUUUAAGGUUUGAUAAUGAGGGUGUCAGGCAUGUGGAUAUCAUGGCGCCGCCUAGCAGUAAUUAUCACAACUUGUUGUUGUGGCCAGAUAAUUGUCAUCAUUACCAUGAUAAUAAUGAUGAGGAUGUAGAAAUAGAUGUGUAUAAUGGUUUGCCUGAAUCAUCAUCAUCAUGGCCAUGGCACAUGGAUUCAGGUGCUGCUUUUCUUGGCCUUCAUGACUGCCCAGUGCCGGUUCCCAAUGAUUCUCAUAAUUACGACUCCUCAACUACACGACCCCAUCCUGGUUUUUGGUUUACCCUCCGCUCCUUAACCAACCGGGAUGGGGAAGUGUUGCCUCAAAUACCAAAGGCGUACAUUAGAGUGAAGGACGAGAACGUGACAGUUUUCAUGGUUAAAAAGUACCUGGUUACAAAGCUUGGUCUCUCCAACGAGGCUGAGGAGGCCACAGCCAAAUAAUUAGCUGUCUAUCUGGUUAAGAUGAAUUAUGACACCCGAAAUGUAUGGCCUACACGUAUGUUAUUUUGGAUUGGUGUUCAAUGGUUCAGUUCAACUGGACAUUCCUUACUUAAAUACGCAGAUUGACAUAUCAUGCUUGGGGCAGAACUUGUUGCAUGCACAAACCUUGAAGCAAGUAAGGGAUGCAGUUUGGCUGCCUAGACUGUUAGAAUCUGUAAAUUCAACUUUAUCCUUUGAAGACUCCAAUGACAGGUCAACAAAAUAUUUAAUGUCUUUGCAUUAUGGGAGACGACGUGUAUGGAACUGAAGUCUCUUGGUUUGUUCCUAUAUUUGAUAGUAAGUUGUGCAUGUGUAUUCUCUAUUGAUCAGUCAUGUAUGCUUUUGGAUUCA